GCCCGGGUCGCCUAGUGGUAGGGCGGCAGCCCGCUAAGCUGUUUGGUCGAAAGACCUUCGCGAGUUCGACUCUCGCCCCGGGCG
rnacentral:tRNA from 1 species